GAUGAACGCUGGCGGCGUGCCUAAUGCAUGCCAGUCGAGCGAACAGACGAGAGUGCUUGCACUCUCUGACGUUAGCGGCGGACGGGUGAGUAACACGUGGGUAACCUACCUAUAAGACUGGGAUAACUUCGGGAAACCGGAGCUAAUACCGGAUAAUAUUUAGCUUCGCAUGAAGCAAUAGUGAAAGACGGUUCUGCUGUCACUUAUAGAUGGACCCGCGGUGUAUUAGCUAGUUGGUGAGGUAACGGCUCACCAAGGCAACGAUACAUAGCCGACCUGAGAGGGUGAUCGGCCACACUGGGACUGAGACACGGCCCAGACUCCUACGGGAGGCAGCAGUAGGGAAUCUUCCGCAAUGGACGAAAGUCUGACGGAGCAAUGCCGCGUGAGUGAAGAAGGUUUUCGGAUCGUAAAACUCUGUUGUAAGGGAAGAACAAGUACGUUAGUAACUGAACGUACCUUGACGGUACCUUACCAGAAAGCCACGGCUAACUACGUG
rnacentral:rRNA from 1 species